GGAGUUUAAAGGGUGCUUCGUUCAGUCCAGCCAGGAGUGAGAUGAAAGGGGGGGCUGAAUUAGCUGCCGACUCAUUCACUUAACCACGUUAUCCACAUCUGUAAUGGCGGCAGAAGAAGAAGAAGAAGAAAAAAAAAAAAAUGGGGGGUUUUGGGGUUGAGUGAAGGGAUGCGGCAGAUAGUUUCAUGUCCCUCUCCCUCCUUGCUUGGACUGAAGGGAGCUCCUUUUUCUUUCUCC
rnacentral:pre_miRNA from 1 species